rnacentral:rRNA from 1 species
ACGAACGCUGGCGGCAUGCCUAACUCCUGCAAGUCGAACGAGACCUUCGGGUCUAGUGGCGCACGGGUGCGUAACGCGUGGGAACCUGCCCUCAGGUUCGGAAUAACUCCCCGAAAGGGGUGCUAAUACCGGAUAAUGUCUUCGGACCAAAGAUUUAUCGCCUUUGGAUGGGCCCGCGUUGGAUUAGCUAGUUGGUAGGGUAAAAGCCUACCAAGGCGACGAUCCAUAGCUGGUCUGAGAGGAUGAUCAGCCACACUGGGACUGAGACACGGCCCAGACUCCUACGGGAGGCAGCAGUGGGGAAUAUUGGACAAUGGGCGAAAGCCUGAUCCAGCAAUGCCGCGUGAGUGAUGAAGGCCUUAGGGUUGUAAAGCUCUUUUACCCGGGAUGAUAAUGACAGUACCGGGAGAAUAAGCUCCGGCUAACUCCGU